rnacentral:lncRNA from 1 species
UGAUAUAGGCGCGUAAUUUCGCCUAUCAUCAACACCCCACACUUAGAGCUUUGUUCGUCCUCGAACAACAUAUCAUGUCCUUCUAAGCAUUGACUUAAGGUUUUUACAGAAACAACACAAAACAUUCUUCAAGACAAGCACAACAAUUAUCAACGAAGAGUAGCUUUCCGAUUAUAAGUAGAAACAAUUUAACCUCAAGCAUAGACUCGUGAUGGUGAUCAACUCGCAUGCAAACGUUUAAGGUACAUAGAAUCAUAUACAACUAUCCAAAACUCAUCGACCAUGUGUGUCUCACAAUAUAGUACCCAUAAUCACUCACAAGUAUAGCAUAUUUUUCAAACAUGGGCAGCAAAGUAUCCUUGCGCUCACUCUCACAAAGAAUUCAUAUGUAGCAGCUAAUGACCAUAGGCUUGCCCUUAAUGUAGUACUCCACUAAAUGUCGGAAUGUUAAGGUUAGGAUCAAGUAGGUCUUUUGAUGGUUGUAAUGUAGGCUAAGGGACGGGUAGGAUCAACUAUUUUGGCCAGAAAUAGUGACUAAGUUCCUAAGCACUUUAAUACAUCACAUUGUAUUAUUGACACUUUUUUUCUCCUCUUUUGUUUUUCAAUUUUAAAGCACAACUCACUUUUCAGCUUUCUUUUCCUUUUUCUUCUCACAACAUACCUCUUAUGAUAGCACUUUCUUUUUCAUAACAUAUUCAAGCACCAUUACAAUUUAAAGCAUCAUACUCAACCAAUUUCCUCUUAUGUUGUCACAUGACUUUUUCACUUUAAAGCACUUAGGAAUUUGGAUCAAAUUACGGUCUUGAAAAAAAAUGAAUUAGGCUUACAUACAAGGUUGUCAAAGAAAUAGGCUAAAGGCUCAAAAGGGUUUAACUAGGAUGAUGUCCAUGGGUAGGUAAAACUGAAGGUAAACAAAUAUAGGUUGCCAAAGAAAUGCCUAAAUCAUAUCCUAAACUUACACUCCUUAUUUUCGCUUUGCAUACAUACCAGGCAAGUUCUAGCAUCAGCCACAUACAUAGAAUAUACUAUUAUCUCACACACACAAGGCACAUGGUCGACUUGAUUGGUAGCAAUAUAGACUCUCAACCCAACAAGUGAAGGAAUUGAAUCACACACUAUCACAUAAUGAGUCACAACUAGAGCCUAAAUGUCUCAAUAGUCACAAUUGUAAUACAUACUAUUGUUAUAAUCUCAUGCUGCCUAUUAAAAUAAUUUCAUGCGAGGCUAGAAAAAUU